ACCGCAUAGCGCAGUGGAUU
rnacentral:siRNA from 1 species